UUCAGAUUUACUGACGGGUCGCUGCAAAACCCUAAACUGUACUCAGCAUUCAGGAUGAAAAUAUAAGCAACUACAGCACCGCAGAGCUGCAUCACUAAACAUAUGUCUGAGAACUGUUCCCCUCCUGGCUGGAUGCACCCAAGUCCCAACCCCAUUUCUACAAGGAUGGCAGUGCCUGCAGAAUCAAGAUCCUCAAACAAUGAAGGUCCAUCAGGAAGAAUAAUCUUCAGCCUUGCUGGAAACAAGAGCAGAGGGCGCCCCAAGGAUUGACAAGCAAGGCAGCAAUUUUUUUUACCAGUUUGAAUAAUGAAGAAAAUAAAUAUUUUGAACCUUUUAUUGUAAUCAAUAUACAAAGACCUGAGCCUUUUUAUACAGCACCCGUCAGUGGAACAACCUAUUUAAGGACUACUGUAGCUGAACAAAUUACAAAUGCUGCAAUGUAAAUUAAUUUGAUUUCCUAUAUAAGCACUUUUACAUUUGCAUACUCAUAAAUGAACAUUUCUUAACAUUAUUAUCUUGGGAAUGUUGCAACUGUAAUAAAACUCAUCUUCAUUUUAAUGUAUCUUCAAUUGGCAGCUUCAGAAAGGUGUCAUGUUGACAGUCCAGUGUUUUUUAAAAGCAGUAUUUCUGCUGCUUUGUUCCAAAGCAAAAAUACAAGAAUCCUGUGUUGAACUGCUUAUGAAUAAAGAUGUGCCUUUUUAUUAGACACAUUGCAAGACACGAUAAAAGAUAGCUAUGAAGUUUUUUGUGUAAUACAGUGCCUGAGAAUGACAAAAUGAAUUUGUCAGUGUUUCUCUGUGAUUGAUAUUUUAAUAAUAGAAACAUUUCACUAAAGCACUUUAACAGUUUGUAUAUAUUUUACAUAGUAAGUAGACCUAUACAUGAACAUUGCUAUACUUGUAAAUGAAGAUAAACUCUAAAUCUGGAGGCAAUGGUGAGGUUUAUAGGCAUUAAAUCUAAACAAGAUACAUAUGGUUCAAUCUAACCUUUAUCUGUCUAGCUGAAGAAUACCACACAAGGAAAAUUGCCAUAACGUGGAAAUGACUGCUAUUUUAUGAAAAAAGGUCUUGUACAAUUUUAACUAUCUACCAUAUUUCAUGUCAUCUGCUUCAUGCCUUUUUUGAUCAUCACAAAAUUCAUAUGCCUGGUGUGGCAGUAAAGUGCCAUCAUACCAUCAAAAACCUAUUGAAAGGUAUAAAAAUAUUCCCAGGGGAGAGCAUCAGUUAAGUGUGCUGCUAGGCAGACUUACAGCAUGGAUUUCAGAAGAAAACAGAUUACCAGAACAAGACUCCUGCAAGACCAACUUUUACAAAAUCAGAACUAUUUUUCUUACAAAUUAUGUGGCUGACUUCUUCCUUAACUAAGGGCUAUAACUUGACAACAGAUUACUUGUGGCAUCGGCAUUUUGUAGUUUUCUGCACAGCGUAAAUCAAUAUAUUAUCUUGUUUUCUAAGAUACACUGCUGCUUUAUAAUUAAAAUUGGCUGAAACAGAAUGUGCAGGGUAUAUGGCAAUGUGAGAUAAUACUGAUGUGGUAUGUUAUUGAAACGUUUCUUGAACUUUAAUGCAUUUGGACUUGCAAAAAGGUACUCAAACAGCAUUACAUGGCUGAUCAGUCUUUAACAUCAUAGACUACCCACAGUUACUCAGCAUGUAGUCAAUUGUAUACUAACAACAGUGUACAUCAUAUUGGGUACCACACUAUAUCAUCAUUGUGUGGAGUAACAGUGUUUUAAUAAACUUUAUUUUUAA